rnacentral:lncRNA from 1 species
GGCUGGUACCGGCGACUCCUAGACGCUAUAGUACCCUACUGCUGCGGUGCUGCCCCUGCUUGGCCGGUAAUUGGUGCCGGCGACGACUUGGGUAAUUGGACUGUUGGGUCUUUUGGGUCAUUGAUAGCUUGCCAAUCGCCCAACAGUAGGCACCCACUACGGCAGAAACAUCCGACAAAAUGGAAGCAAUACAGAGGGCGAGGAUUAUGAGGAAAAAUGGUUGUGUGGAUAGCAGAUGUUUGUAAAAGGUUGGAGAAGGAAUGAUAGACGUGUGGAUAGUAAUAUAAUAUAAUAUAAUAUAUUGAAGAUUCACACUAAAAAAGACAACUACUUACUAAACGUUAGCUUAAUGCACUCUUUUUGUCAACACGGG